rnacentral:rRNA from 1 species
CCAGACUCCUACGGGAGGCAGCAGUGGGGAAUAUUGCACAAUGGGGGAAACCCUGAUGCAGCGACGCCGCGUGAGUGAGGAAGUAUUUCGGUAUGUAAAGCUCUAUCAGCAGGGAAGAAAAAAUGACGGUACCUGACUAAGAAGCACCGGCUAAAUACGUGCCAGCAGCCGCGGUAAUACGUAUGGUGCAAGCGUUAUCCGGAUUUACUGGGUGUAAAGGGAGCGCAGGCGGUACGGCAAGUCUGAUGUGAAAUACCGGGGCUCAACCCCGGGGCUGCAUUGGAAACUGGCAGGCUGGAGUGCCGGAGAGGCAGGCGGAAUUCCUAGUGUAGCGGUGAAAUGCGUAGAUAUUAGGAGGAACACCAGUGGCGAAGGCGGCCUGCUGGACGGUGACUGACGCUGAGGCUCGAAAGCGUGGGGAGCAAACAGGAUUAGAUACCCCCGUA